rnacentral:lncRNA from 1 species
GGGCGAGAGAGAGCUGAGGAGACAGGUUUGAAAUUUUCCAAAAGGAAACGUUGCUGGGAGAGAAGGACGCUGCCUGUCCCCUCUCCCUCUUUCCAUCCUCCCCCUGACUGGGAGGCGGGAGGAGCCAGCGACAGCCUUGCCUUAGAGAGGAGGAAACCGCGUCUUGGAAGCACAGGCCCCAGUGUUGUUUGUCAGAAGCUGCAUCCUUGCCUUCUCAGCAAUCGUGGCGAACGAUACGAUUUCAAGGGACGAUCCUUUCCUGACUCCAGGGCAGUGUCUCUCUGAUGGCGAAGGUCACCCAAAGAGGAAACCAUCGCAUCUGACACCUUCUGUGCUUCUGGCUCCCCUGAGGGGCACGCCUUUGGUUGCAGCUCAGACUCUCACCUCCAGGCUGUCCCCACGGAUGCCCAGGGGCUGCGCCACCAGGAGCAGUGUGCCCGGAGGCCACAAGCACACCGCGCUCUCGGCUCAGCUUCAACCUGGAGACAGGCUCAGAGAGGAAAGCUCUUUUUCCGUCGCCUCCCUGGGGGCCUUGAGAAGACGUCCUCCUUGUUAGUGGUUCCCAAAUUGCCCUCUGUGUGGUUCUCAAGUCGGGGGUCUUGGAACAGCCUAGAGGGGUCUGCAAGAGGAUGGGGGCACCCAGCUCGGCUGGGGGUGAGAUGAAUGAAGGUCUCCCAUGGCAGUGUUGCUAUUUUUCAAGUAAAUGAGGUUGCUAUUGGGC